GGCAGAUGUCGUUAUUCACAGCAGGGUUGGGGUACUUGGGGUACCGCGCUAGGAAUUUGUGGCAUAGCAACCCCAAGCUCUUCUCCUUCCGACUCGGCUGGGAUUUCUCAAAUUCGUCUCCUGAUAAGUGUUCCUGCAGAGGGAAAGAAGUGGAGUCUGAAUUCUGUCAUUGUGUGAGUGUGCGUAGCAUCUACAACGGUUCUAGAACUGAGGUCACGUCCUCUUGUGCUUAUCAGGAGGGUGGAAGGACAGUUUUCCCAGUUCCAGGACACGGCAGAAGUGCCCUUCUACUAUGGACUCCUCCCUCUGACCCCCACCUUGUGAUCCCAGAGAACAGGAGAGAGAAGACUUUGUCCUCACUUGGUCUUCCCAGCAUCUAGCCCUGACCAAGGAGAGGAAGGGCUCGGUGAACACUGAUUGGCUAAGGUUCUACCUUAGCAGGCUAUCCUACCAAGUAGCGAGGAUGCUUUUCUCCCCGCCUGAAGCGUCAAGUGCAAUUGUGAACACGCACCAAGUGCUCAGUAAGGGAUGUGAACCUGUUUUGUACAAAUUGGUGGCUUGUUUGGGUUCUUCAGAAUUGUGGCUUCUGAUUCACUGGAGGUGGCUGUGCCCCUACCCCGCAACCCCCUGAAGUGGCUGGCAUUGGUGCAAAUGAGGCUGUUGAACCUGAUCGUGUUCUCUCUGGCCUUGGACCUGAGUGCUGCAGAGAGAGAGAGAGAGGGAGACUCUGAUGGCUCUGAAGAUCAUGGCCCUUCCCAUAUGAGGUUCUAGGCAGUAUUCCUGAGCCGGUCUCUUGCUCACUCCCCAGCCCUUUUGAAUACCCCUUUUCGGUAUGAAUUUGAUGAUCUAAUUUGACUAUCUCUCAAAUGC
rnacentral:lncRNA from 1 species